CGGAGGGUGCAAGCGUUAUCCGGAUUCACUGGGUUUAAAGGGUGCGUAGGAGGGCAGGGAAGUCCGUGGUGAAAUCUCCGAGCUUAACUCGGAAACUGCCGUGGAUACUCUCUGUCUUGAAUCCCGUGGAGAUGAGCGGAAUAUGUCAUGUAGCGGUGAAAUGCUUAGAUAUGACAUAGAACACCAAUUGCGAAGGCAGCUCGUUACACGAAGAUUGACUCUGAGGCACGAAAGCGUGGGGAUCAAACAGG
rnacentral:rRNA from 1 species